GUUGAGAUAGCUCAGUUGAUAAAGCAGAAGAUUGAAAAUUUUCGUGUUAUCAAUUCAAAUCUGGUUCCUGAUA
rnacentral:tRNA from 1 species